AAUCAACGCUGGCGGCGUGCCUCAGACAUGCAAGUCGAACGCGAAAGUCCCCUUCGGGGACGGAGUAGAGUGGCGCACGGGUGAGUAACACGUGGGUAAGUUUACCUUCGGUGGGGAAGUAACAGUCGGAACGAACUGCUAAUAACCGCCAUGAUGCAGCGGCGACCACCAUGGUGACAGUUGUUAAAGUACGGGGGAGUCGCAA
rnacentral:rRNA from 1 species